AAGUCGUAACAAGGUUUCCGUAGGUGAACCUGCGGAAGGAUCAUUAACACGUAUCCAACAUUAACCAACCUGUGAACUUGUAAAUGUGUCUGAGUUUCGUUCGUGAGAAGGCCUUCUGGUUUUCGAUCGAGCGUUGCUCCUUUAUCACUAUUUUAACCACUGUAACCUAUUAACUGAAACUUACUUUUGCUAUUGGUCAGCAAUGAUCGAUGGGCGGAAGCAUUUUACGAAACUAAAACAACUCUUAGCAACGGAUAUCUUGGUUCUC
rnacentral:misc_RNA from 1 species